CCUACGGGAGGCAGCAGUGGGGAAUCUUGCGCAAUGGGCGAAAGCCUGACGCAGCAACGCCGCGUGCGGGAAGAAGGCUUUCGGGCUGUAAACCGCUUUCAGUAGGAACGAAAAUGACGGUACCUGCAGAAGAAGGAGCGGCCAACUAUGUGCCAGCAGCCGCGGUGAUACAUAGGCUUCAAGCGUUGUCCGGAUUUAUUGGGCGUAAAGAGUUCGUAGGCGGUCGAGUAAGUCGGGUGUGAAAAUUCUGGGCUCAACCCAGAGACGCCACCCGAUACUGCUUGACUUGAGUUCGAUAGGGGAGUGGGGAAUUCCUAGUGUAGCGGUGAAAUGCGCAGAUAUUAGGAGGAACACCGGUGGCGAAGGCGCCACUCUGGAUCGAUACUGACGCUGAGGAACGAAAGCAUGGGUAGCAAACAGGAUUAGAUACCCUGGUAGUCCAUGCCGUAAACGGUGGGCACUAGGUGUGGGUUUCUAUUAACGAAAUCCGCGCCGUCGCUAACGCAUUAAGUGCCCCGCCUGGGGAGUACGGUCGCAAGCUAAAACUCAAANAGAUAAGUAGCGUUGAGAGUUGCGAGCGACACGAGGGAGAG
rnacentral:rRNA from 1 species